rnacentral:rRNA from 1 species
UAAUACCGUAUAACAGAGAAAACCGCAUGGUUUUUUAAAAGAUGGCCUAUCACUUUUGGAUGGACCCGCGGCGUAUUAGCUAGUUGGGGUAAAGGCUCACCAGUGAUACGUAGCCGACCUGAGAGGGUAAUCGGCCACAUUGGGACUGAGACACGGCCCAGACUCCUACGGGAGGCAGCAGUAGGGAAUCUUCCACAAUGGACGCAAGUCUGAUGGAGCAACGCCGCGUGAGUGAAGAAGGGUUUCGGCUCGUAAAGCUCUGUUGUUAAAGAAGAAGUAAGAGUAACUGUCCCAGUGACGGUAUUUAACCAGAAAGCCACGGCUAACUACGUGCCAGCCGGUAAUACGUAGGCAAGCGUUAUCCGGAUUUAUUGGGCGUAAAGCGAGCGCAGGCGGUCUUUUAAGUCUAAUGUGAAAGCCUUCGGCUCAACCGAAGAAGUGCAUUGGAAACUGGGAGACUUGAGUGCAGAAGAGGACAGUGGAACUCCAUGUGUAGCGGUGAAAUGCGUAGAUAUAUGGAAGAACACCAGUGGCGAAGGCGGCUGUCUGGUCUGCAACUGACGCUGAGGCUCGAAAGCAUGGGUAGCGAACAGGAUUAGAUACCCUGGUAGUCCAUGCCGUAAACGAUGAUUACUAAUGUUGGAGGGUUUCCGCCCUUCAGUGCUGCAGCUAACGCAUUAAGUAAUCCGCCUGGGGAGUACGACCCAAGGUUGAACUCAAAG